CCGCAUUCAACAGCUCAGCUCCUCUUCCCGCUUCCUUUGGUCCUGAAACUAUGUCAAUGUCUCUGCACCAUGCUUACCCCUAUCUCUCUGCCUUCAAAUCGACUUCCUCAACCCCAAUUCGCCCCAAGUCAAGCCGACUCGGUGCUAACUCAGUCAGGUGCUGCGUCGCAGCAACCGAGUCCCGGCAAGUCACGGUCAAGAACGGGAACGAUUCGCUGGACAUUUGCCGAGUACUAAAUGGGAUGUGGCAAACUAGUGGCGGAUGGGGGCGUAUUGACCGCGAUGACGCGGUCGAGGCUAUGCUUAAAUACGCCGACGCCGGCCUCACCACCUUCGACAUGGCCGACCACUGUAUGUAUAUAUGAUUCCAUUAAUGUAAAUUUCUUGUUCCAGCUUUUCUAUUCUUUUUUCCCCCAGUUUUCUAUUUAUGCGGUGUGGGUUUUUUGAUGACACGUGGUCUCCUAGGUAUCCAUUAACGUCUCUAGCUGAGAAAGGAAAGCAGAUAAGAAUUGUAGAGACGGCAUUUCCUUUUCAGUCUUUAUAUUUGCGCUUCUCUCUAUCUUUUUGCUUGUUGGUAUUUGGGUUCUUGUAUUGAAAUGGCAGAGAUCAUGAACCAUUCUUUUUCCAACUUCAACUUCUACCCACUCAAUCUGAAAACCAGAAUAGUCGCUGAAUUGAGAAAACCCUGUGUGAAGCCGUUGCAAUGUGUACUAACUGAGGAUGACAGGAAAAUUAUAGUGAAGAAUGGGAAGGAUUCAUUAGGUAUUUGUAGAGUUGUGAAUGGGAUGUGGCAGACAAGCAGUGGGUGGGGCAAUAUUGAACGUGACAAUGCUGUUGAUGCUAUGCUUAAAUAUGCUGAUUCUGGACUCACCACUUUUGAUAUGGCUGAUAUAUAUGGACCUGCUGAAGAUCUUUUUGGCAUUUUCAUCAAUCGUGUUCGCCGAGAACGCCCACCAGAGCUCUUGGAUCAGAUUAGAGGUCUUACCAAGUGGGUGCCUCCACCAGUUAAGAUGACAAGUAGCUUCGUCAGGGAGAGCAUCAAUGUUUCACGAAAGAGAAUGGAUGUAUCUUCCUUGGACAUGCUUCAGUUUCAUUGGUGGGACUAUUCCAAUCCCGGUUACCUUGAUGCUCUUAAAAACCUCACAGACCUAAAAGAAGAAGGUAAAAUUAAGACUGUUGCUCUGACAAAUUUCGACACGGAAAGAUUACAAAUAAUUCUGGAAAAUGAAAUCCCUGUUGUCAGCAAUCAGGUGCAGCAUUCAAUCAUUGACAUGCGUCCUCAGCAGAAAAUGGCAGAGCUCUGUCAACUCACAGGAGUUAAACUUAUAACGUAUGGGACAGUAAUGGGUGGGCUGCUAUCUGAAAAAUUCCUUGACACCAACUUAGCCAUUCCUUUUGCUGGGCCCCCAUUAAAUACUCCAUCUCUCCAGAAAUACAAAAGGAUGGUGGAUGCUUGGGGAGGAUGGAGUCAAUUUCAAGUUUUGCUGCAGACACUUAAAAAGAUAGCUUCUAAACAUGGUGUCUCAAUUCCAACUGUUGCUGUGAGAUACGUACUAGAUCAGCCAGCAGUGGCGGGAUCAAUGAUAGGUGUUCGUCUUGGUUUGUCAGAACAUAUCAAUGAUGCUAAUGCUGUGUUUUCACUUGUUCUUGAUGAGGAGGAUGUAAAUAACAUACAAGAAGUUUCCAAGAAAGGGAAAGACCUAAUGAAAGUGAUUGGGGACUGCGGAGAUGAGUAUAGGCGCGCAUGAACUGAGCAUCCAUAAAUUUUGUUGUUAUCCUUAUAUAUAUAAUUUUUGUGUGUAAUGUAGUUAAUUCUUCAUUUGAAGAUGUUCUAAGAUAGUUGUUGAAAUUUUACUCUAUGAUUGAACUUCAUUAGAAGACGAGUGCAUAUCAAUACAUUUAUUAUUUCAGAAACUAGAACACUGAUUUCUUCGACAUAGUGAGAGCUUUGAACUCAAACCUAUAGAAUGUUGUAAAUUCUAAGCUUUGUAUGUUACCUUUCUCUAAUU
rnacentral:misc_RNA from 1 species